rnacentral:rRNA from 1 species
CAAUAAGCGGAGGAAAAGAAACUAACAAGGAUUCCCCUAGUAACUGCGAGUGAAGCGGGAAAAGCUCAAAUUUAAAAUCUGGCGGUCUAUGGCUGUCCGAGUUGUAAUCUAGAGAAGUAAUGCCCGCGCUGGACCGUGUACAAGUCUCCUGGAAUGGAGCGUCAUAGAGGGUGAGAAUCCCGUCUCUGACACGGACUACCAGGGCUUUGUGGUAUGCUCUCAAAGAGUCGAGUUGUUUGGGAAUGCAGCUCUAAAUGGGUGGUAAAUUCCAUCUAAAGCUAAAUAUUGGCGAGAGACCGAUAGCGAACAAGUACCGUGAGGGAAAGAUGAAAAGAACUUUGGAAAGAGAGUUAAACAGUACGUGAAAUUGCUGAAAGGGAAACGCUUGAAGUCAGUCGCGUUAGCUAGGAAUCAGCCUUGCUUUUGCUUGGUGUACUUUCUGGUUGACGGGUCAGCAUCAAUUUUGAGUGCUGGAAAAAGGCCUUGGGAAUGUGGCAGCUUUGGCUGUGUUAUAGCCCUUGGUCACAUACAGCAGUUGGGAUUGAGGAACUCAGCACGCCGCAAGGCCGGGUUUCGACCACGUUCGUGCUUAGGAUGCUGGCAUAAUGGCUUUAAGCGACCCGUCUUGAAACACGGACCAAGGAGUCUAACAUGCCUGCGAGUGUUUGGGUGGUAAACCCUUGCGCGUAAUGAAAGUGAAAGUUGAGAUCCCUGUCGUGGGGAGCAUCGACGCCCGGACUUGAACUUUUGUGACGGAUCCGCGGUAGAGCAUGUAUGUUGGGACCCGAAAGAUGGUGAACUAUGCCUGAAUAGGGUGAAGCCAGAGGAAACUCUGGUGGAGGCUCGUAGCGAUUCUGACGUGCAAAUCGAUCGUCAAAUUUGGGUAUAGGGGCGAAAGACUAAUCGAACCAUC